rnacentral:lncRNA from 1 species
ACAGACAUUAAUACCGAACACAUUGUGAGCAAGGUUUUUGAGAUUUCUGCGACCACAUCCUAAUCGCAAAUGAAACACGGACACAAACAUGAAUACCGAACACGACCAUAGCAAUUUGAGAAUAUGAAAUAUUUUAAUAUAAUCACAUGUGUCAGUAUCCUAUCAGUGUCGAACACCGGACGCAUCUUUCGAGUAAAGUCACAUAUUCACAGAUCACAAUUGCACAUCAACAAAGACAAUGACAUAAUCAUAACCGCGACUACAAUUUAAAACCUCGAUUGUGAAAUCAAAUAUAAUGUGUGAUCUCUCAAUUUUGAAUUACCAUGUUCAAGAAUCCUAUUUGAAAUUCUAAGCAGAAAAAUGGUAUACAACAUAUUGAUAUUAACGUAAUACAAUCACAGUAUAAAAUACAUUCAAAUUGACUGAGACCACUUGGUCAAAGUGAGAUGAUAUUUCCUUGAAAAACAAAUCACAUAAUACAUUAUGAACAAGUUAGAUACCAAAAUAUGUUUUACAACAUGCCAUGGAAAGUGGGCUUGGUAACAAAAUAGUCAAUUAAAAAGAAUAAAACUAAACUUACAGAUCUGGAAAAGCAUUGGCUACAUAAUCACAUUCAGUUUCUCUCCAUCAUAUCUCUAUUUUCUUCUUGGCUAAAUAAGUCAUACUCCAACGUAUAUAAAUGUUUGAAAACUCAUCCUUCAUUUGGUUCUUGACACCAAUGCGACCAUCUUUGGUAGCCACAACAGUUGGUUGUGAUGUUCCAACUGCCAUAAUUUCUUCCUACAAAAAUAAAUCCACAAAAAUAAUCAAAUUCAUGUUUCCCAUAGCUGUUUGAUUUGAACACAAAUAAGAUUACUAAUGGUUUAUCUUUAUCCCCAUACACAUGGCGCUUAAUCUAAUCUCAGCCGCACAACCUAAUAUAGAAAUAUAACAACCAAAAAGCAUUUUAAUUAUGACAUGGUAAAGAGAAAGCCCAAAAAAAAUUGUCAAACUGAGACUACAAAGUAGAAUGCCACAAGUAGAUUAUAUUGAACGGUCCACAUUAAUGCAACUCUCAUUUACAAAAUUUUGCUUUCUAGAAAUGUCAUAAGUAGUUAUCACUCAAAAAGAAACAAGGCCUUGAUCAUAUCCACAACAUCAAACAUAUCAAUGACAACAAGAUUAAGUUAAAAUCAAAUGAACAUACACAAUUUCUGGCUCUCAAAUAUUUAUGUAAACAAUGGAAAGUUCACACAUUCUCACCUGGCUAGAUUGUAUAACACAAGCUUCAAUCAUGUUCAACAAAAAUAAUGAGAAUCAUCAUAGGACAAACAACACAUUUCAAGAACAUGUUGAGUUCCUAAGCAUAUUUCAAACAUUAAUCAAAAGUUGACAUAAAGCUCUACGAAUCAAAAUUAUCAUGCUUGCUCAUUGAUUUAUCACAAACCUGUCUUUCGGAUCUUCAAAAGCAUGUGAGCUUGUUUUCAAAAAGUAUUCACAAUAUUCACAAUACUAACUACUUACUAAUAUAAUAUAAAUUACCAAAUGUCAUUUAAUUCAACAAAAUAAAUAAAAAAUAAAUAAAACACCAAGUACUACAUGUUCAGAGUACCUAUUCAAAAUUUCACAAACAUCAUGAAUCUAACAUAUUCAAAAUUAGUCAACUGAAAUUAAAGACUGAAUUAAUAAUAAUAAUAAAAACUGUAAAAGUUCACUGGGAUUGGCGUGCUUUAAGCUCCAUGCUCUCCUCCAUCUUGCUCAUUAUUAUCUCCAACUUCAACAUCAUUUUGAUGAGCUUCCCCCUCCAGUACAUGUGGACUGACCCUGGGCCAUUUAACAAAUGCAGCAAAGAUCUCAAGUGUAGGCCGAGCAAAAGGAAUUGUUGUGCCUUGCUGCAUNNN